CGCCCCUCUCUGACCUCAGCCAGGAGCCGUGGCUCAGGGGUCCGACUGGGGACAGAAAGGAGAAAGAAUCUCGCUGUGGCUUCGGCGAGGAGUCCAGAGGGAGAGAACAAGGGCGAAGGGACAGGGAGGAGGGGGCGAGCUCGAGUUCGCUGCACCUCCACCGCAGGUAUUUCAGAAAGAAUUAAUCUUUUUGAAGUUGGCCACAGCUGCGAUUUAACUGACACCCUGUUCAACCGGGUGACAAUUGUUCAGCUUGAUGGGGGCGACUCACCAGCCACCCUUCAUAGAAAACAAAAUCUGACUCCCUGGUUCCUGGUUCCUUUGUACCAAGGGGCAGGGUGAACGUAAGACGGCCUGGGCCAUGGCGAAGCUAUCGAAGUCUUUAUUCCAUUUGUGUUAAUGUGCUUCACCAAAGCCGAAUUAGACUCUCUCUACUCCAGAAGGAACCAGGGCAUCAAGAAUAUGCUGGAGGAUUGGAGGCCACUGAGGUUGAGGGAAGGAGAACUGGGAAGGAAGGUCCCUGCGAACACGUCUCCCUCAUGUCAGCCAGGCCAGUUGUCCAGGAGACAUUCUGAAUAAUGCCUCAUCCUGGAAGUGGCUUGUGUUCUCAUGGACAGCGGAGAAAAAUGGAAACAUGAGCCAAAGGAAGAUUCCAGAACCUAGGAACAUGUUUGUGCGGGUCUGCAGACAGCAGACAGACAUCCCUCCAUUCUCUGAGAGCCACUCUUCUGUGUUAUGACUGGACCCGUAGUCACUAGGUUUCCAAAGGCAGAGUAAGUCUGUGGGAAAACUGACCCCUGGUGUCCACAGGGAGUGGAGUAGGUAUUAUUUGUUGUAUUUUAGUAGGACCUUUAGUGGAAUCACUAAAGGAAGAUCAGCUGACAACUAGGAUGAGUAUAAGAGCUGAAAAGUGACUUUCACGGCUGUCCCUGGUAACUAGAAUACGUCUAUAGCUUCCUGAAUAGACAAUUCCACCCUACUUUUUUUCUUUCUUCUUUGGCCGCAUCUAUGGCAUAUGGAAGUUCCAGGGCCAGGGCUUGAACCUGAGCCACAGCUUUGACU
rnacentral:lncRNA from 1 species